GCUUAAGAGGGGUCAAUGUCCUAUCAGCUAGUCGGUAGGGUAAUGGCCUACCAAGGCUAAGACGGGUAGCCGGCCUGAGAGGGUGGUCGGCCACACUGGGACUGAGACACUGCCCAGACUCCUACGGGAGGCUGCAGUCGAGAAUCUUUCGCAAUGCCCGAAAGGGUGACGAAGCGACGCCGCGUGUGGGAAGAAGGCCUUCGGGUUGUAAACCACUGUCGGGAGUUAAGAAAUGUAAGGGUGUUAAUAGCAUCCUUACUUGACUAAGGCUCCGGAGGAAGCCACGGCUAACUCUGUGCCAGCAGCCGCGGUAAUACAGAGGCGGCAAGCGUUGUUCGGAAUUAUUGGGCGUAAAGAGCACGUAGGCGGCCUUGUAAGUCAGUUGUGAAAGCCUUCUGCUUAACGGAAGAACAGCAUCUGAUACUGCAAGGCUAGAGUACGGAAGGG
rnacentral:rRNA from 1 species